rnacentral:sRNA from 1 species
UGGGAGUUGAAACUUCGGAAAAAUCUCUUGGGGUCCAGUGUGAAAUGUGAGAGGUCAUGUAAACAUUCAGAGGCCCAAGGAUCUGGCCUGGCUUCUGAAUGACCACCUGCUUCUUCCCCCUGUGUGUGUCCCCAGGUUCCGGAAUGAGGACUACACCAUACAUGUGCAGCUGAAUGACUACGUGGACAUCAUCUGUCCGCACUAUGAGGAUCACUCUGUGGCAGAUGCUGCCAUGGAGCAGUACAUACUGUACCUGGUGGAGCAUGAGGAGUACCAGCUGUGCCAGCCCCAGUCCAAGGACCAAGUCCGCUGGCAGUGCAACCGGCCCAGUGCCAAGCAUGGCCCGGAGAAGCUGUCUGAGAAGUUCCAGCGCUUCACACCUUUCACCCUGGGCAAGGAGUUCAAAGAAGGACACAGCUACUACUACAUCUCCAAACCCAUCCACCAGCAUGAAGACCGCUGCUUGAGGUUGAAGGUGACUGUCAGUGGCAAAAUCACUCACAGUCCUCAGGCCCAUGACAAUCCACAGGAGAAGAGACUUGCAGCAGAUGACCCAGAGGUGCGGGUUCUACAUAGCAUCGGUCACAGUGCUGCCCCACGCCUCUUCCCACUUGCCUGGACUGUGCUGCUCCUUCCACUUCUGCUGCUGCAAACCCCGUGAAGGUGUAUGCCACACCUGGCCUUAAAGAGGGACAGGCUGAAGAGAGGGACAGGCACUC